rnacentral:rRNA from 1 species
UAUUGCACAAUGGGGGAAACCCUGAUGCAGCAACGCCGCGUGAGUGAAGAAGUAUUUCGAUAUGUAAAGCUCCAUCAGCAGGGAAGAAGNUGACGGUACCUGAGUAAGAAGCCACGUCUCACUACGUGCCAGCAGCCGCGGUAAUACGUAGGGGGCAAGCGUUAUCCGGAUUUACUGGGUGUAAAGGGAGCGUAGACGGCAUAGCAAGUCUGAAGUGAAAGCCCAAGGCUCAACCAUGGGACUGCUUUGGAAACUGUUAAGCUAGAGUGCUGGAGAGGUAAGCGGAAUUCCUAGUGUAGCGGUGAAAUGCGUAGAGAUUAGGAAGAACACCAGUGGCGAAGGCGGCUUACUGGACAGUAACUGACGUUGAGGCUCGAAAGCGUGGGGAGCAAACAGG